UACGUAGGGCGCAAGCGUUAUCCGGAAUUAUUGGGCGUAAAGAGCUCGUAGGCGGUUUGUCGCGUCUGCCGUGAAAGUCCGGGGCUCAACUCCGGAUCUGCGGUGGGUACGGGCAGACUAGAGUGAUGUAGGGGAGACUGGAAUUCCUGGUGUAGCGGUGAAAUGCGCAGAUAUCAGGAGGAACACCGAUGGCGAAGGCAGGUCUCUGGGCCAUAACUGACGCUGAGAAGCGAAAGCAUGGGGAGCGAACGGG
rnacentral:rRNA from 1 species